ensembl:lncRNA
CGGGAUCUGCAGCGACUUUGCGCAUGCGCGAUUCAUCUGCUGUCUGUACACGGAGCGAUGUGGGUCUGCUCUAAUCAGUGGGACUGCUGUGUAUAUGUCUAUGUGCUGCAGGUUACUGGACUGACCGCCUGUGUUUUGUGAAGGGGAGGAGCUCACAGCAGCAUCUGCUGCUCGUUGAGGACAGUAACUGCAGAACGAUCCGAGCUUUCAUUUCAGAGUCUCCAAAACACCAGAAAAAGUCGCUAGAUUUGUCACUAGUUGCUUUUGUCAAAAAAAAAAAAAAAAAAAAAAACGUGGCCUGGAGGUUUUGGAAAGUCGCUAAGUUGCAACACUGGCAUGUUCGUGCAGAGCUCUCCUCUGUUCCUUGUCAAGCUCAGUUUGUUUGCCAGCUCCGAGAAAAACCAGUUUCUGUGUUUUCAAGCUGUUCAGCAUCAACAGAUCGUGAAGAGACAGAAGCAGAAUUAUUCCAUCAUGAAUGUUUAAUUCUGUCAUGGAGUCCUGGACCAGGUUUAUUCUCCUUCUCCUCGUGAUCAGAUUAUCUGAUGCUGAAGAAGAGCAGAAUAAUCUGACAGGAACUGAGGGAGGAAACAUCACUCUGCCUGAUCCUGUACUGGAGAGAGGAUAUCUGUUAUAUGAAGGAAAUGUUAUUGCUCAGGUGAUAAACAGAGUACUCAUCAUAGAUGAUGGCAUUUAUAUUAGCAGACUUCACUGGAACAAUAACUCUGGACUCUUCACAAUCACAGACCUGCAGAAGAGAGACUCUGGGAUUUAUAAAAUUGACUCUAAAAAAGGAGUAAUUUCUACUAAAUCUAUUUAUAGCCUCACAGUUUACGACUCUGUAGCGCUUCCUGCUGUCCAAACACUGAGUGUGAGCUCUGACAGCUGCUAUCUGCUGUGUGCUGUGGACAAAGCUGCAGAGAUCACACUGUGGUGGUACAAAGAUGAGGAGGUGGUGAACCAGAGCAGCUCUGCUGGACCUCUGCCUCUCACUGUGACCAAGCAGGACCUCAGCUCCUCUUACAGAUGUGUGGCUGGAAACCCUGCAGAAGAAAGGACUCUUCUAGUGGAUCUUCAGACGUUCUGUGGAGAGAACUUCACUGCAGUUCAGAACAACACAGAAUCAAGACAUCAUUGGAUCAUAAUAGCAGUCUCCAUUGGAUGUGUUGCACUUGCAAUUGUUCCACUCGCAUUUUUAAUCAAGUGGAAGUGCUUCAAGAGAAACGAGUGGACAGCCACAGAAAGACAAGGCAGAUCCUGAGGGCACAAAGUCAGACGCGGAGUACACUGAAGUAAACAUCUGUCCUGACAGACGCAGUCAGGGAGGAAAUUUACCGGAUUCACCAGGCUCUGUGGAUCGCUCCAAUCUGACGACAGUUUAUGACAAACUGGAGGCUCAUCGGAUGGUGCUGCCAGACUCGGAUGGUAACGUUUGACAGCAGAAAACAGAUUUCUACCAUUAUUGUGCAGCUGACUGAAACCAAAGAUGAAGGAAAAUGUACAGACCAUAAUCGACCAGUACUAUUUGUAGAUAACCAAAAAUACAACUGUCCUGUACCCAUUUCAAUAUUUGCUAUUUAUUUUGUUCUUGUGAUUGUAUUAACUUCUUGCACUGCUUUGUUACUGUCCAUUGUUGCAUUUCAUCUGUUCUCAGAAGGUCUUCACAUUUCAUCCUUGGUGUUAAUAAAGAUGCUCUGUAUGGAGACAUGGUGUUUACUGUCUUCUGUGGUUCAGACAUUCCUCCCUCAUUCAGUAACACAUUCUCUAGAUGCUGCAUCACAGCUGGCAGUAAGUCCUUGUAUAGAAAUAGUUCAAACAUGAGCAGGACAGUGUUGUCAUUCUGAAAUACUGUCUCUGCAGAACCUCCCUGGUUAGAAGAAGAACCGACAGUAGCUCUGCAUCGUGUUGUCUCUUAGAUCCGUGAGUUCUCUACCAGAGGAACCACAACAACCUCCAUCAGUACAAUGCAGCUCAUUUACAACUAAUUCAACACAAAGUAGGAAGUGAGUCACCACAACCUGCCCCCAGGACAGCUCUGAUUGGUCGAGGCCUGGAGUCCUCAGACCUCUGAAGACGUCCUGUGGUUUCAGGCUCCAAGACCUUCACAGCAGAACCUUUCAGGUCUGGAAGUUUCUGGAAUCUGAAGGCUGAGUCGACACUUGGUUGGACACUCUCGGUUGUGUUCCUCUAACCAUCAGUAGAUCCAUCUGGGAAUGAAGCUGCCAUGAAGGUGGUGAAAGGAACGUCCACAUGAAUGCAGGACUUCAUGUUCCCCAGCAGAACAUCACCUCCUUCCAUCCUGCUGCAUCUCCUCUGCAGGUAUACGACACACCUGGACUUCGAUGUGAUGGAGAAGGAAACUCCUCAGAGCAGGACACCUUCUUCCAUCUGUCCAUGGUCCAGCUGUGAUGCUGUAGCAGCUUCCAGUGGUGGACAGGAGUCAGCAUGGACUCAAUCUGAGAUGUUCUGAGAUGUUCUGAUCAGCAGCUUGGAGGUUUUCAGCAGCUCUUCUAUAGGAUCAGACCUCCUGCAUGAGGGAUCCUCUGGUGUCCACGUCUCUGGUUCUCUGGUUCUCCUUCUCUUUACACUUUUAAUAACCGCUGUAGAACUCUUGCUGUUCUGGAGAUGUUCUGAUCCAGUUUGUUAAAGUCUCUCAGAUCUUCCAAUGAACCAACUUCCAGAACUGAGCCUUUAUGAGGAGAUGAUCAUUGAGCUGGUUUAAUGUUAAUGUUUUUAAACUCAGGGCUGUAAUGACAUUUUCAGAUUCCAUUUGUUUUAGAUUCUUCAUCUGUUUUGUUUUUCAUUUUUAUUAAAAGGUAAUUCAGUAAAAUUAUCAGUAUUCUCUCAUAUGUUUUGUAUAUCAGAAUCCUAGAGGAUCAUUAGAAGCUGGUGAUGAGGUUGAAGAGUCCAACAUGACAACAAUAAAAGAACUAGAGAAGCUGAAACUUCUCCAACAUUUCUGGGUGAGUUCAUCUCAUUUUCACAUCAGGAGGACUUGGGCGUCGUCACAGCUGCAAACCAAGAAUUACGUCAGUAAUGUUUCAGACUGCUGUAAAUCUGGGUGUUUCUCGUAUAAAAUGUGGGUUAAAACUAAACGUCAUCCUGAAACCUUCAGUUUGAUUCCAUCUGAUUCAGAAGCUGCUCGUCUUUUCAACUUUAGGGACCAGGAAUGCAAAC